rnacentral:rRNA from 1 species
AUUGAACGCUGGCGGCAUGCUUUACACAUGCAAGUCGAACGGAAACAGGCCUUCGUUUGCUGACGAGUGGCGGACGGGGGCGUAAUGCAUCCGAACGGGCCCCCUGGCUGUGGAUAACGCAGCAAAAGCUGAGCCCAUACCUCAUGUGAGCUGAGGUUGUAAGCGGGGUAGCAGGCAGCAAUGUUUCGCCUUUCGCGUUUGGAACGGACGGUGUCGGAUUAGCUAGUUGGUGGGGUAAAGGCCUACCAAGCCGACGAUGUGUAGCUGACCUGAGAGGACGAUCGGCCACACUGGAACUGAGACACGGUCCAGACUCCUACGGGAGGCAGCAGUAGGGAAUCUUCGGCAAUGGGCGCAAGCCUGACCCAGCAACGCCGCGUGAGUGAAGAAGGCCUUCGGAUUGUAAAACGCUGUUGUAAGGAAAGAAAAGGUUUGGAAGAAAACCUGCAGCUGAUGACGGUACCGUAAGAGUAAGCACCGGCUAACUACGUG